GCGCUCGUGUAGCGGCCGGAUGUAGCUGUGGGCCUCCUCGGCCGAGAGACCGCGCUGUUCGAGGCCAGCGCGGGCGUGC
rnacentral:tRNA from 1 species